UACAAAGGGGGCUAGCGUUGCUCGGAAUCACUGGGCGUAAAGGGUGCGUAGGCGGGUCUUUAAGUCAGGGGUGAAAUCCUGGAGCUCAACUCCAGAACUGCCUUUGAUACUGAGGAUCUUGAGUACGGGAGAGGUGAGUGGAACUGCGAGUGUAGAGGUGAAAUUCGUAGAUAUUCGCAAGAACACCAGUGGCGAAGGCGGCUCACUGGCCCGUAACUGACGCUGAGGCACGAAAGCGUGGGGAGCAAACAGG
rnacentral:rRNA from 1 species